UACGGAAGGGCAAGCGUUGUUCGGAAUCAUUGGGCGUAAAGGGCGCGUAGGUGGUUCUGUAUGUCUACCGUGAAAGCGUACGGCUCAACUGUAUUUUGUCGGUAGAAACUGCAGGACUUGAGGCUGGGAGGGCUGGUGGAAUUCCCUGUGUAGCGGUGAAAUGCGCAGAUAUCGAGGAGGAACACCGGUGGCGAAGGCGGAUCUCUGGGCCGAUACUGACGCUGAGGAGCGAAAGCGUGGGAGCGAACAGG
rnacentral:rRNA from 1 species